GCCGGGUACGGUGGCGCGUGCCUGUAGUCCCAGCUACUCGGGAGGCUGAGGUGGGAGGACUGCUUGAGCCCCGUUCUGGGCUGUAGUGUGCUAUGCCGACUGGGUGUCAGCACUAGGUUCAGCAUCAAUAUGGUGACCUCCCGGGAGUGGGGGACCACCAGGUUGCCUAAGGAGGGGUGAACCGGCCCAAGUCAGGAGCAGGUCAAAACUUCCGUGCUCAUCAGUAGUGGGAUCGCACCUGUGAAGAGCCACUGCACUCCAGCCUGGGCAACAUAGCGAGAACCCAUCUCUU
ensembl:misc_RNA Metazoa_SRP Metazoan signal recognition particle RNA